rnacentral:rRNA from 1 species
UGCCAGCCGCCGCGGUAAUACGGAGGGGGUUAGCGUUGUUCGGAGUUACUGGGCGUAAAGCGCACGUAGGCGGAUCAGUCAGUCAGAGGUGAAAUCCCAGGGCUCAACCCUGGAACUGCCUUUGAUACUGCUGGUCUUGAGGAUGUGAGAGGUGAGUGGAAUUCCGAGUGUAGAGGUGAAAUUCGUAGAUAUUCGGAAGAACACCAGUGGCGAAGGCGACUCACUGGCACAUUUCUGACGCUGAGUCGCGAAAGCGUGGGGAGCAAACAGGAUUAGAUA